GUGGAAAUGCAGCAGUGAGGAGGCAAAGCAGCAGUACACUCAGACUGGAUCUAUUCCAGGGAAUAAUAAUAGUGACUGAGCUGAAGAACUUUGAGCUUGUGUGAGCUGUGGUGAAAUUCUUCAACUUGUACAUAGCAUAGCCAGGACAGCAGGGAACUUCAUGCAGGCCACAAGUGACUUAAAAAGUUGUUUUCAGAUAAAAGAAAAAAGAAAGACAAGAUGUUGUUUUACUUCCGUGAUUCUUGGGAAAAUGCAAAAAUACCAAUUAAGCUGUAAUUUUAACUCACAGCUGUCUUUCAAUGCCAAUGAAAAAGACUGAACCACUGAUUGAUCACCUGAGGCAAGGGCUGAGUCAGCCCUGGGAGCACAGGUGAAGGCAAUUCACCUGUUUGACCAGAAGGGGUGGAGCCUAGCUGCACCUCUACUAGAUCUGUUUAAAGGCUGACUGAAGCUGCAGAAGGAUCUCUUUCUGGAGAUUCUCCCUUUGGAGUCUUCUACUGUGAGCCUAGGACACGGCUGAAAUGGGAUAGAGUUUAUUGAUGGGCUUUCCUUCUGGAUUCCAUUGGCUUGAAGAGGUGGGGAUCUGUAAAGGACCGAUCAUAGAGGUUGGGUGAAAAGAAAAGUCUGAGACAGAUUUAAAUUUCUCAGCCAGUUGUGUUGCCUCUGUCAAGCCCUGAUGCUUGAUGCACUUCUCCUGUACCAGCCCUGCACUGGAGCAGGGCCUCCUCUCUGCUGUACAAGACAGUGUUUUCUCCUGCCCCUGGCACAGCACGGCUGGCAGAACUCAUGUAUUGGUGCAGCUCUCUUCCAUCCUCUUCUUUUCCAGGCUCCAUCUCUCCCCACUACUUGCUAUGUUUUGGCAGCACAGUCGCCACUCAGCAGCUUUAUUUCUGGUACUGGAAAAGAACAGGGUUCUCUGUGGAAUAGAGGCAUUCACUGCAAUAUUGCACUGUGGGCUGUUUCAUUUAUCAUCUUGGUAAUUUUUCUUUAAUUAAUGGGGUGAAACUAUCAGAGAUGAUUGCAUUUUACAAGAUUUCAAUUUCCAUUAGUAAUAAACAUUAAAGAUAUGGAGCAGUACACUGUAUGUGUAUGCACAACUAUUUCCUGUACUUACGAUAUUACUGUAUCUUUUUUAUCAGCUUUUUAUUAGAG
ensembl:lncRNA